rnacentral:ncRNA from 1 species
CGACGCGGUCCGGCGCGUGAUCAAUGCUUGAAAGGACCUGGGGGAAGACCUACCGACCAACCCACCCCACCUCGCCGGUCCGCCCCGGCCCCCACGCCGCACCCCGUCACCCGGAAGAGUGGCAACGCCCAACUCGGCUGGAUUUCCGCCCCGUUCGCUGGCAUAUGCUCGCCGCGACCGCACCACCACCGCAGACAUGCGACGGCCCCCGGCCGGGACUGGCAUCCCGAUCGAGGGCCUGACCACCAAGGAAGCGUAGGACCUUCCCG